ACUCAAAUGAAUUGACGGGGGCCCGCACAAGCGGUGGAGCAUGUGGUUCAAUUCGAUGCAACGCGAAGAACCUUACCGGGGUUUGAACUGUAACAGAAAAUUUCAGAGAUGAAAUCCCCUAGCAAUAGGCUGUUAUAGAGGUGCUGCAUGGCUGUCGUCAGCUCGUGUCGUGAGAUGUUGGGUUAAGUCCCGCAACGAGCGCAACCCUUGCUCUUAGUUGCUCAUUCGCAAGAAUAGCACUCUAAGAGGACUGCUGGUGAUAAACCGGAGGAAGGUGGGGAUGACGUCAAGUCAUCAUGGCCUUUAUGUCCCGGGCUACACACGUGCUACAAUGGCCGGUACAGAGGGUUGCUAAAUCGCAAGGUGGAGCCAAUCCCACAAAGCCGGCCUCAGUUCGGAUUGCACUCUGCAACUCGAGUGCAUGAAGUUGGAAUCGCUAGUAAUCGCGGAUCAGCAUGCCGCGGUGAAUACGUUUCCGGGCCUUGCACACACCGCCCGU
rnacentral:rRNA from 1 species